UACGUAGGGUCCGAGCGUUGUCCGGAAUUAUUGGGCGUAAAGGGCUCGUAGGCGGUUCGUCACGUCGGGAGUGAAAACUUGGGGCUCAACCCCAAGCCUGCGGUCGAUACGGGCAGGCUAGAGUUCGGUAGGGGAGACUGGAAUUCCUGGUGUAGCGGUGAAAUGCGCAGAUAUCAGGAGGAACACCGAUGGCGAAGGCAGGUCUCUGGGCCGAUACUGACGCUGAGGAGCGAAAGCGUGGGGAGCGAACAGG
rnacentral:rRNA from 1 species